rnacentral:rRNA from 1 species
GACGGGGACCCGCACAAGCAGCGGAGCGUGUGGUUUAAUUCGAUGCUACACGAAGAACCUUACCAGGGUUUGACAUGCAAGCGGUAGGAAACUGAAAGGGACCGACCCUUCGGGAGCUUGCACAGGUGCUGCAUGGCUGUCGUCAGCUCGUGUCGUGAGAUGUUCGGUUAAGUCCGCUAACGAGCGCAACCCUCACUGUGUGUUAUAUGUGUCACACGGGACUGCCGGUUUUAAGCCGGAGGAAGGUGGGAUGACGUCAAGUCAGCAUGGCCUUUAUAUCCUGGGCUACACACACGCUACAAUGGUCGGUACAAUAGGUUGCCAAGCCGCGAGGCGGAGCCAAUCCAAAAAAGCCGGCCUCAGUUCAGAUUGUAGGCUGCAACUCGCCUGCAUGAAGAUGGAGUUGCUAGUAACCGCAGGUCAGCACGCCCGCGGUCCGAAUACGUUCCGGGCCUU